rnacentral:rRNA from 1 species
GGGAAUAUUGCACAAUGGGCGGAAGCCUGAUGCAGCGACGCCGCGUGAGGGAUGACGGCCUUCGGGUUGUAAACCUCUUUCAGCAGGGACGAAGCGUAAGUGACGGUACCUGCAGAAGAAGCACCGGCUAACUAUGUGACAGCAGCCGCGGUAAUACGUAGGGUGCGAGCGUUGUCCGGAAUUACUGGGCGUAAAGAGCUCGUAGGCGGUUUGUCACGUCGUCUGUGAAAUCCUAGGGCUUAACCCUGGACGUGCAGGCGAUACGGGCUGACUUGAGUACUACAGGGGAGACUGGAAUUUCUGGUGUAGCGGUGGAAUGCACAGAUAUCAGGAAGAACACCGAUGGCGAAGGCAGGUCUCUGGGUAGUAACUGACGCUGAGGAGCGAAAGCAUGGGUAGCGAACAGG